rnacentral:rRNA from 1 species
GACGUAGGGGGCCAGCGUUGGUUCGGAAUUACUGGGUGUAAAGGGUUCGUAGGCGGCCACUCAAGUCGAAUGUGAAACCUCGAGGCUUAACCUCGAGCCUGCAUUCGAUACUGGGCGGCUAGAGUCUGGUAGGGGGAUCGUGGAAUUCCUGGUGUAGCGGUGGAAUGCGCAGAUAUCAGGAGGAACACCGGUGGCGAAGGCGGGUCUCUGGGCCGAUACUGACGCUGGAGGAGCGAAAGCGUGGGGAGCGAACAGG